rnacentral:lncRNA from 1 species
UGAAGGAGAAAAUGGUGACGAAAGCCAAAUGGUUUACCAAGGCCUAGCUAAAGAAGCAUCCCCAACAGGCCUAGCUAAGGAGGCAUUUCUAACUAGCCUUGUGUCCAAAAUCCUUCUUUUUAUUUUCCCCAGGAAAGAAGAAGGAUGGCUAUUCUGGCAGAUUCUUGCUGCAGGGUCUUGGAUCAGAGGCCUCAGGACCUUAACGCCGUUCAGAAUGGCAGUGAACAGCCCUAGAGUGAUCAUCCUUUCAAAGAAAUUCUUGUUUACCAUGAAGGUCCUGAGUGAGAGGAUGAAGUGAGGCUGUAAAUACCAGGAAAGGGAUGACAGGUGAUAUGAGAAGAUGGGCCACUCUAUAGCCUACUGGCUGACAUGAGCCUGAACACAGAUUUCCUAUUCCACAGUGGCAUUCAGCAUCACAUCUGUUGCUAGAGUUAAUGCACAACUAUGUUCAGCUCCUGCAGAUCUCAUUGUUGUUCUUAUUUUGUUGUUUUCUAUUAAUCUAAAAUAAAUGUCAUGGAGCCUGGCCGCUGCA